GGCUUGCGAGGAUAGGAAAAA
rnacentral:miRNA from 1 species